rnacentral:lncRNA from 1 species
CAGUUCUGCCUGGAGGCCCGGUCUAUAAAUGCCCGCCUUCUCUCCCUUCCUCUCCCAUCUCAACUUCCCUUCCUAUUCUCCCCAAAGCCGCUCCAGCGCCUCCAUUCUCUCUGCUUGCUUCUCCUCCCACCUCCUUCCAUCUCAGCCCACUGGCCUGACUUCUUCUCUUUCCAUUGCUCAUUCUUUCUUUCUUUCUUCGACUAACCCAUUCCUCUCCUACUAUAGGUGACUACUCUCAGGACUUGUCUAUCUCUCGACAUCUUCCAACACACCUCGAUUCCUCCAUUAAAUGGCAUCGCCAUUUCUAGCCAUUCAGCUUUCCAUGCUUUCCGACGGUCUACGAACAAUCCUUCGAUACGUCUUAACCAAUCGACUGGACGGCAUUGUCGUCUUCAUGUAUAGGACUUGUCUAUCUCUCGACAUCUUCCAACACACCUCGAUUCCUCCAUCAAAUGGCAUCGCCAUUUCUAGCCAUUCAGAUUCAAUCACUUCGUCAAGUCCAAAAGCUUCAACACUCAUCACCCUACAUGGACACAUCUCUGACCUUACCUAUUCUAUUCGAAUUUCAAACGGGUUUGCUCUGCAGUAAGCCCCUCUGACCCUCGUCGUUCCAUCCUUACCAGACCUAUCCUUAUACCUAUCCUUCUCUCAUAUCCUAUCUUUACUCUGAGCGGCACCGGAUGACACUGGCGACGAACAAACGGCUACGAGGCAUUCGAGAACGACAGACUGGAGGCCGACAGGCCGAGCGAGCGAACGGACGAAACGAAACGAACAGCCACGAGGCAACCGAGACGAAUCGAUCCAUUAAAACCCCAAACGGCGAUGAACGGACGAUCGGAGUGGGAUGUCAACAUCCAGCAACCCCUAUAUCAAGCAGAUAUCUAACCCGGGGGGUGCCUGAUGCGGACAUCCCGCCGCUCCCAGAAUCAUUUAGGAUACACAACCGGGAGUGUUAGGUUUCUCUUAUACGAACAACGAACCGAACGAACGAGGCGGAUCGAUCGAACGG